CUGCAGUAGUUUGGUCUUGCACUUACGGCACUGGACUCAGAAUCAGAAGAUCUGGAUACAGUUUCUGGCUCUGCGAGAUUUUCUGCAUAACCCCGCUGCAAGUCACUUAAUGUCUCUGUGGCUAAAUUCCCAUCUAAAAAAUGGGGAUAAUAAUAAGCUGUUCACGGAUGCGUUGUCUAGACAGUUAAUCAUUCUUGUUGCUCUUCUCUGGACUUUUCCCAAUUUGUCCACAUCUCUACUGAAAUUUGGCACCAAGAACUGAACACAAUACUCCAGCGGAGGCCUUAUCAGCGCAGAACAGACAGGAAGAAUUACCUCUCGUGUUUUCCUUACAACACUCUGCUGAUAAAACUGCACUUUUUUGCAACAGUGUUACGCUGUUGACUCAUAUUUAGCUUGUGAUCCACUAUGACUCCCGGAUCACUUUCUGAAGUACUCCUUCUUAGGCAGUCAUUUCCCAUUCUGUAUGUGUGACUGAUUGUUCCUUCCUAAAUGGAGCACUUUGCAUUUGUCUUUAUUGAAUUUCAUUCUGUUUACUUCAGACCAUUUCUCCAGUUUGUCGAGAUCAUUUUGAAUUUUAAUCCUAUCCUCCAAAGCACUUACAACCCCUCCCGGCUUGGUAUCAUCUGCAAACUCCUUCAGAUUGGGAUUUAGAGCAAUGGAAUUUCCCAGAAGCAGAACAAACAGAUCCAGUGUUCACAAUGGGUCUUAAAAUCCACAGAGCCUGAGAGAGACAGAUGGAGCUGAGGGAGACUCAAAGAUACACAGAAGGCUUAGGCACUGCAGAACUCAGAGAGAGGAAGAGAAGAGCAUGCAUCCAUAGCAGGGGAAUCCUGUUUAACUGCUGGACCAGCCAAGGAAGAAGGAAACUGGCUGCCAGAUGGAUGAAUAUGAUUCACCAUCACAUAGCCACCAGUCCAGGGAAGACGGUGUGAAGAUCAUCAGCAGUCACUACCCAGGAAGAG